rnacentral:lncRNA from 1 species
AUGUAUGAAGUAGGCUAUAGAAAACGUCGAUUGACUGGUCUGUUUGUUUUGUUUUCCUCGUGUCGUCUCAUCUCAGGUGCACGUUCCAUAGUCCAUAUGCAGUUUGAAGUCAGUCGGUCCCAAGAGACCCUCUCUGCGUCAAUAAAUGCGAUUUGUGGUUCAUUUAACGCAUUCAGCAUCCAGAUGUUUGAAAAUAUGUAUUAUCCUUGGAAGUCCAGUUGGCUUCACUGCAGAUUUCUCCCCUUAGAGCAGCAAGUGACUAACACUGCCCAGGAAAACAACUUAAAUCUGUAAACCAACAUUAAUGCAGUGAUUUACAGUCCCCUUGGGAUCCACAGCAAGGUGUGCAAGGAGUACUGAAAUGUCCUCACUCAGAAAGUAAGUAUAAAAACCUAUUCAAGUGUAAUACUGCCAAGCCGUAUGUUAAGCAACUAUUAAGAAUAAAUUCAGCAAUACCAUUGCA